AAGCCCCGACGGCUCGUCGCUGGCACCCGCGUGGUGUUUGAGGAAAGUCCGGGCAACGCAGAGCGCCAUAUUUCCUAACGGGAAGCUAUCGGUAACGGUAGAGACAACGUGACAGAAAACAACCGCCCCACACCCGUGGGGUAAGGGUGAAAAGGUGGGGUAAGAGCCCACCGGGUUCCAUAGUGAUAUGGGAUGCCGCACGUCUUAUGGGUUGCAAGGUCAAGUAUACCGGCAUUCAAGGGUUGCUCGCCCACUGCCGGGGGGUAGACUGCUAUAGUGACCGUGGCAACACGGCACACAGAUAAAUGACGGGCCGCCAUGAUAACUCAUUGCCCUUGUGAGCAUUGACAGUACCAUGUCGACAUAACCCGGCUUACAGUCGGGGCACUCCU
rnacentral:RNase_P_RNA from 1 species